GGGCCAAGCAGGCUCUGCACUUGACAGCAGAGGGCCCGAUGCAGGCCUCGAACUCACGACUGCGAGAUCCUGACCCGAGCUGAUACCGAGAGUCCCACGCUUACCCCACGGCGCCACCCGGCCGCCCCUAAUCCUUGAAAUCCUGAAGAUGAACCGCAUUCUGCAACAGCUGCCCUCUUGGGGGAGGGGUUCUUCCUUCACGGGAUCCGGGCCCGAACGCGCGGUACACAGGUUUCAGGCGCCUCACGUUACCGGCUCCCAGGGACGCUUCAUCUUGUAGCCUUGGAGCUCUGGUUGCACUUUCUCUUCCGCUUGCCCGGGCGGCCAACUUCUGAGGGUGGCGGAGUCACCGCGGCGCCACGGCACGUGCGUCUUCCCCUCUCGUUUCUGCGGCCCAGACGGAGGAGGCCGGAAGAGAAGACACUUCCGCUCUCUGAACACGGCUUUUCUCGGCUUUUCUCGACUAAGUUCGCCAGCGCGUUAGGGGACUGGCCCAGUUGGUGGCACGAAACUACCCAUGGGCGUGAAACUAAGUAUAAGGCUGAGAAUGGUGUCAUGGAACAAAGAAUAAUCACCAUUUCUUAAAAGGCCCCGGUCUAAAGUGAACACAGCUUGGGAGUUUACCUGUGGCAGCUAGAGCCCCCACUGUCAGCGAGUAAGGACAACUGUCAGCUUCUCAGCUCCCCCUGGUACCGAGGUGGAGUGGAACGCAAGCCCCAAGACACUGCGGCUAAUGACGAUGACAAAAAGAGCUGCCCGGGACCCGAAGUUUGCUAGGCAGCCUAUACCUGCUGCAACCGUGCAGUGAAAAACACCCAGCAAGAAGAGGCUGUGCCGCGGCACCCGCUUUAAAGAUGCAUCUGGACAAGCUGGGAGCUCGCAAUGUGUUGCCCCCAUCUCAUCCACAUCUGCCAAGCAGUUUGCCCCGGACUCCUGGCUCCCAGCUCCUCCCGGAGAAGAAGCUGAGAAGCAGCAGGCUUGGCUGCCGCCCAGCGGCCCGUCUGUAAUCUUCCUGCUCAACACCACAUCUUGGCAGCAGCAGGAGGCAGGCUCGGGCUGCCCCAGAAGCCAGCCUUGAGACUGGUGACUCAGCGGGGGAGGUGGCGGGUGGGACUUGGGGCCCCGGGGGCUAGGACUGAUGACAACUGAGCAGAAGACAGGAAGAUGAGUCCUGAGCCCAAGCUGAGCAGCAAUCUAAUGAAUUCACAGCAAUUCCGUUUGUGUGGCUGAAUCCUCCCUGUGGGUUUAGAGGAUCCCUCCCUGUGGGUUUAGAUCCCCUGCUUCCUGGUUUCUAAAAUGCAGCCUGACCAAGGUCUAGAUGCCGCAGCCAAGUGACCCCUCUUUUCCUUUGCUGCCACCCACCCCCACCCCCAAACCCAAGCAAUUAUACAGGAACAUCCAAAGAGAUGUGGGUUGAGAUUUUCCUUUAUUCGUUUUUUAUUUUGGAGAGGAAGGGCUGGAGCAAAAAGAUUAUGCCAACACACCAGGCAUCAGAAUGACCCUUGCACAUGCAGGACUCUGAUGGACACUCACUCCAGAUCAGGUGAUUAACAAAUGUGCCUCAUGACAACAAUGUCCCCACAGCUGCAAAAGCCCCCUUGCUCUUCCCCAUUUUUCUUAAUUUUAAAGACUUCUGCCCAUACCCACCUAAGGUAGCCUUGUCAUUCUCAAUAAGUGGCUCUCCUACUCCUGUGGGCUCAGAGCCCCACCCCACCCCACCCUACCCCGCCCCAAAA